GCAUGGUUGUCGUCAGCUCGUGCCGUGAGGUGUCGGGUUAAGUCCCAUAACGAGCGCAACCCUUACUGUUAGUUGCCAGCGGGUAAUGCCGGGAACUCUAGCGGGACUGCCACCGUAAGGUGAGAGGAAGGUGGGGAUGACGUCAAAUCAGCACGGCCCUUAUGUCCAGGGCUACACACGUGUUACAAUGGCCGGUACAAAGGGCAGCUACACCGCGAGGUGAUGCUAAUCUCGAAAGCCGGUCUCAGUUCGGAUCGAAGUCUGCAACCCGACUUCGUGAAGUUGGAUUCGCUAGUAAUCGCGCAUCAGCCAUGGCGCGGUGAAUACGUUCCCGGGCCUU
rnacentral:rRNA from 1 species